rnacentral:rRNA from 1 species
CGCAUGUUCACAUGAUUAAAGGUAUUCCGGUAGACGAUGGGGAUGCGUUCCAUUAGAUAGUAGGCGGGGUAACGGCCCACCUAGUCUUCGAUGGAUAGGGGUUCUGAGAGGAAGGUCCCCCACAUUGGAACUGAGACACGGUCCAAACUCNUACGGGAGGCAGCAGUGAGGAAUAUUGGUCAAUGGGCGAGAGCCUGAACCAGCCAAGUAGCGUGAAGGAUGACUGCCCUAUGGGUUGUAAACUUCUUUUAUAAAGGAAUAAAGUCGGGUAUGGAUACCCGUUUGCAUGUACUUUAUGAAUAAGGAUCGGCUAACUCCGUGCCAGCAGCCGCGGUAAUACGGAGGAUCCGAGCGUUAUCCGGAUUUAUUGGGUUUAAAGGGAGCGUAGAUGGAUGUUUAAGUCAGUUGUGAAAGUUUGCGGCUCAACCGUAAAAUUGCAGUUGAUACUGGAUAUCUUGAGUGCAGUUGAGGCAGGCGGAAUUCGUGGUGUAGCGGUGAAAUGCUUAGAUAUCACGAAGA